rnacentral:rRNA from 1 species
AGUGAUCGCUGGCGGUAGGCCUAACACAUGCAAGUCGAACGGCAGCACAGUAAGAGCUUGCUCUUACGGGUGGCGAGUGGCGGACGGGUGAGGAAUACAUCGGAAUCUACUUUUUCGUGGGGGAUAACGUAGGGAAACUUACGCUAAUACCGCAUACGACCUACGGGUGAAAGCAGGGGAUCGUCGGACCUUGCGCGAUUGAAUGAGCCGAUGUCGGAUUAGCUAGUUGGCGGGGUAAAGGCCCACCAAGGCGACGAUCCGUAGCUGGUCUGAGAGGAUGAUCAGCCACACUGGAACUGAGACACGGUCCAGACUCCUACGGGAGGCAGCAGUAGGGAAUAUUGGACAAUGGGCGCAAGCCUGAUCCAGCCAUACCGCGUGGGUGAAGAAGGCCUUCGGGUUGUAAAGCCCUUUUGUUGGGAAAGAAAAGCAGCAGGUUAAUACCCCGCUGUUCUGACGGUACCCAAAGAAUAAGCACCGGCUAACUUCGUG